GUAUUGUCUGGGGGAAUGCUGCGUGACCCGAACAGCCAGCACAGAAUGUCUAGGUUCUUUCAUCCCGUGUGGCCGGGCUGCAGCUGGGUCACCUUUGCUAUGUAUGUCCAGGGAGAGUGUGACUUCCACUGGUUACCCAGCACAAGGUCUAUGAAAUGAGACUUCACAACACAAGUGGCUGGACAAUGUUUAAAAAGAAAAAAAAGAAAAAAAGAAAAAAGAAAGAAAAAAGAGAAGAAAGCAAUGUACAGAUUACAUUAUUUUGGCACUGGAACAGAAAUACCCCAAACUAAACCCCAGAAUGAAAGCAAGGCAACUCCCCUUGGCCCUGCCCAUCCUUCCCCCUGCCCUCCUGCCCACUCUACCUACAAGAAGACGGAAGGAGACAGUUUUUGAAAGCACCCAGCUGUAAUUGGUGAGCACGCUUGUCCAGGGAGCCAUCCCAUGGCACAGAAUGGGCUUCAGCUCCUCUCCAUCUGGCACAGGACGGCUAUGAGAGCAGAGACUGCCACCCACCAAUCACACCUUCCCACCUCUAGAGUAGACAAAGAUGGCUCUUUAGGUCAUUUUAUUUUAUUUCUUUGUUGUUUCCCCCCCCCUUUUUUUUUCUCCUCCCCCCGUUUUUUUUUUUUUUUUACAAAAAUUUCUACAUCUAAAUCACUUUGCUAUAGAAACAUUAUUUUCUUUCCUUUUUUUUUUUUUUUUUUUUUUUACAUUAGUUAAAGCAGAACCUGCUUUUGUGAAAAAAGACAAGGAUCAAGGUCUUAUUUCAUGCAGAAAAUGCAAAUUAAAGAACAUAAAAAUG
rnacentral:lncRNA from 1 species